rnacentral:rRNA from 1 species
GACGAACGCUGACGGCGUGCUUAACACAUGCAAGUCGAAGGGAGUGGCGAACGGGUGAGUAACACGUGAGUAACCUGCCCUUUUCUUUGGGAUAAGCCUGGGCAACUGGGUCUACUACUGGAUGGUUUGGGAUGGGCUCGCGGCUUAUCAGCUUGUUGGUGGGGUGAUGGCUUACCAAGGCUUUGACGGGUAGCCGGCCUGAGAGGGUGGGCGGUCACACUGGGACUGAGUUACGGCUCAGACGCCUACGGGAGGCAGCAGUGGGGGAGAUGGCACAAUGGACGAAAGGCUGAUGCAGCGACGUCGUGUGGGGGAGGAAGGCCUUCGGGUUGUAAACUCCUUUCGCCCGCGGAAUGGGAGUGGGUAAAGAAGCGCCGGCUAACUACGUGCCAGCAGCCGCGGUAAUAC